AUAUAUACAUAAGUAGUAGUAAUAAAUAUACUACUAAAAAUUCUCUCUAGGUCUCUCCUUUGUUAAACAUAUUUUGAUAUUCAUAUCUUGUCUUUAUUUUAUAACAUGUUAUUAGCACGACUCUACCCUCUUUCAUGUUUUCAAUCCGUCAGUUUUCAUCAUGUCAAACUUGUCGAAGCUUGAGUUGUGGCACUUGACAUCUCCGGGAAAAAUUAUUUGUAAUAGGUUCUUGACGCUGAGAUUUACCUAGCUGCUAAGGGUCUUAGUGCUACUAUUACCUCGGUUAAUGCAAUGCGAGUUAGGACAAGGCCAAGGCUAUGAUUUUCCUUCGUCAUCAUAUGGAUGAAGGACAAAAGGUUGAAUACCUUACUGUGAAAGAUCCACUUGAAUUGUGGACUGGUUUAAAAGGGAAGUAUGACCACCUAAAGGCCACGGUACUUUCUAGAGUUCGUUAUGAGUGGAUGCACUUACGGUUUCAAGACUUUAAAAUCGUUAUUGAAUAUAAUUCUGUUGUAUUCAAGAUAGUUUCCCAAUUAAAAUUAUGUGGGGAAACUAUAAAUGAUGAGGACAUGAUGGAAAAAAUACUAACUACUUUUCAUGCCUCAAAUGUGAUAUUGCAGCAGCAAUACCGUGAAAAGGGCUUUAGAAGUAUUCUAAACUGAUCUCAUGCCUUCUAGUAGCUGAGCAACAUAAUGUCCUUUUUAUGAAAAAUCAUGAAGCCCGUCCCAUUGGAACUGCUCUACUACCGGAAGCAAAUAUGGUACGAGCGCAUGUCCAGCCUGAAAAAUGGCAAGAUCGGGAUCAUAAUAAUAUGUGUGGACAUGGCAAUGGCAGGGGGCAAUAUAAUAAUCGUCGUGGUGGUGGUAAUCAAAGAAGGAAAAACCAAAUGGGUCCCCAAAACAAUCCUUUAAAAGGUAAUUGUCAUCGUUGUGGCAUGAAAGGCCACUGAAAAAAUGAAUGUCGGGCGCUUAAGUAUUUUGCUAGGCUUUAUCAAGAAUCUUGCAAAAGAAAGAGAAAUGAAGGUGGGGCCUCAUCUAAUGCCAGAAUGGAGUCAUAUUUAACUUUCCAAAAUAAUGAUGAGACACGACCUUCACAAAAAUAUGAUGACAAUGUUGAAUCGAACUUGAUCUUGAAAGAUGAGAUUUUGAUGGCCUUAAUGAUAUAACUCAUUUGGAAGCUGAAGACUUCUUUGGAGACCAAAACUAAAUCUUGAUCAAGUUAUUGGGGAAAUAAAUAAUGUUCUUUCAUUAUGCUGUUUUUGGCAUGUUUUCAUUAUAUUGUUUUUACUUUUCAAGAGAAAAUAAUAAGUAUUAGAUUAUGAAAGUUCACUUUCCUUAUCAUGUAUUUUUAUUUUGUAAAGAUAAUAAAAAUUUCCCAAACUUCAACUGGA